UACGUAGGCAGCGAGCGUUGUUCGGAGUUACUGGGCGUAAAGGGUGUGUAGGCGGUUUUCUAAGUUUGGUGUGAAAUCUCCCGGCUCAACCGGGAGGGUGCGCCGAAAACUGGGAGACUAGAGUGCGGGAUGGGAGAGUAGAAUUCCUGGUGUAGCGGUGAAAUGCGUAGAUAUCAGGAGGAAUACCGGUGGUGUAGACGGCUCUCUGGACCGCCACUGACGCUGAUGCGCGAAAGCUAGGGGAGCAAACAGG
rnacentral:rRNA from 1 species